UAACACAGUUGUUCGAAUUAA
ensembl:piRNA 21ur-4038 ncRNA